AUGAACUUAUAGAAAGUGAGAAUGUUUACAAAUAAUACACGUAAUUCACUGUCCUUUCACUGAAUUUCACACAAACUUGUAAGUCUCAGAUGUCAAAGCAUGUGAUUCUUGAAGUGCUACAAUCCAUACUCCGCUCGUAGAAAGCAGAGAGGCUGUUUGGAUGGAAGAUGUGAUGUUUAUUUACUCUACUCUUGGAUCAUGUUGUGACUCUAAACCUCAUUCCUAGGCAUGUGCUCUGUAUGAUUAAAAGAAGUACUUGGAAUAAAUUCCAAUGCUUUGGCAGCUCGAGAGAAAGCGACAGUGUUCUGUGCAUCUUGGACACGAGAAUUUAAAGAAAUUGAAAAUCUGAAUGAGGAUGAAUUUCAAUAGGAGACAAGCAGAGUUUUUUUCUUUUUGAGUAUGCAGAACAGUACCUGGAAUGUAAUAAGCACUCACUAAUAUUUGCUAAAUCAGUGAAUGAUGCGGAGGAUAUGGAGAGUUGUAGCAGGUGUAACAGCAUCUAAAUGAGGUAAGUGUGUGGAUGUGCUCCAGGAUUUCCA